AACGAACGCUGACGGUAUGCUUAACACAUGCAAGUCGAACGGUAGCAGGCUCUUUCGGGAGUGUCUGACGAGUGGCAAACGGGUGAGUAACACGUAGAUUACCUGUCUUAGCGAGCGGGACAACAGUUGGAAACGACUGCUAAUACUGCAUAUUUCCUACGGGAGAAACGGAAUAGUUUACUAUUUUGCGCUAAGAGGGGUCUGUGGCAGAUUAGCUAGUUGGUGAGGUAAUGGCUCACCAAGGCGACGAUCUGUAGUUGGUCUGAGAGGAUGAUCAGCCACACUGGGACUGAGAUACGGCCCAG
rnacentral:rRNA from 1 species